CUUGUUUUGUUCCUGGACUCUUCAGUGAUGACGAUCAGAGUCUGAGUGAACCUGCUGUCAGACAGGUUGGCCUGAUUGACGAUGCCAUCGUCCAUCGCCAAUGGCUUAUAGACAUCACCAUGCUGCGCCGGCAAACAGCGUCAUCAGCUCCAGUAUCUCGCCCGUGCAUCUGUUGUCAUGCGACAGUUGUGAACAUGCUGACAGCUGGUUGCCCAGGCUAUGGAUUAAAGGGCCAGAAGAGAAGGCCCUGCUGCCCCUGUCGGCCCACCGCAGCUGUCAGACAACAUCUCCAAGAUGCUAUAAACUGCAGGACUAGUAAGUACAAUCUUGAACAUGCACAACUGUUUCAUAAGUUUGGGAAGGUAUGUUUUUUUUUUGUGUUUUUGAAAGUCUUUUAUGGCAACCACAGUUUAAUUUAUGAAAUGAAUACAAUUCACUACAAUUUAAAAUAA
rnacentral:lncRNA from 1 species